rnacentral:rRNA from 1 species
GGGUCACCUGGCUCAGAUUGAACGCUGGCGGGAUGCUUUACACAUGCAAGUCGAACGGCAGCACGGACUUCGGUCUGGUGGCGAGUGGCGAACGGGUGAGUAAUGUAUCGGAACGUGCCUAGUAGCGGGGGAUAACUUACGCGAAAGCGUAGCUAAUACCGCAUACGCCCUUCGGGGGAAAGCGGGGGACCUUCGGGCCUCGCACUAUUAGAGCGGCCGAUAUCGGAUUAGCUAGUUGGUGGGGUAACGGCUCACCAAGGCGACGAUCCGUAGCUGGUUUGAGAGGACGACCAGCCACACUGGGACUGAGACACGGCCCAGACUCCUACGGGAGGCAGUGUGAAUUUUGGGAUAACGGGGAACCUGAUCCAGCCACCCCGGCGUGGGUGAUGAAGGCCUUCGGGUUGUAAAGCACUUUGGCAGGAAGAAACGGCACGGGAUAAUGCUCCCCGUGCAACUGACGGUACCUGCAGAAUAAGCACCGGCUAACUACGCCAGCAGCCGCGGUGGUUACUAGGCGCAAGCGUUAAUCGGAAUUACUGGGCGUAAAGCGGUUCGGAAAGAAAAGAUGUGAAAUCCCAGAGCUUAACUUUGGAACUGCAUUUUUAACUACCGAGCUAGAGUGUGUCGUGGAGGGAGGUGGAAUUCCGCGUGUAGCAGUGAAAUGCGUAGAUAUGCGGAGGAACACCGAUGGCGAAGGCAGCCUCCUGGGAUAAUACCGACGCUCAUGCACGAAAGCGUGGAGCAAACAGGAUUAGAUACCCCGGUAGUCCACGCCCUAAACGAUGUCAACUAGCUGUUGGGGCCUUCGCCUUUGGUAGCGCAGCUAACGCGUGAAGUUGACCGCCUGGGGAGUACGGUCGCAAGAUUAAAACCUCGAAGGAAUUGACGGGGACCCGCACAAGCGGUGGAUGAUGGGAUUAACGAUGCAACGCGAAAAACCCACCUGCUCCUGCAUAUCUGGAAUCCCGAAGAGAUUUGGGAGUGCUCGCAAGAGAACGGGAACACAGGUGCCGUAUGGCUGUCGUGCUCGUCGUGUCGCAGAUGUUGGGUUAAGUCCCGCAACGAGCGCAACCUCUUGUCAUUAGUUGCUACGAAAGGGCACUCUACUGAGAUCAAGCGGUGAUGCCAACCGGAGGAAGGUGGGGAUGAUGUCGUCUCGCGUUCUAUGGUAGGGCCUUCACACGUCAUACAAUGGGCCGGGACAGAGGGCCAUCGCUAACCCGCGAGGGGAGCCAAUCCCAGAAACCCGAUCGUAGUCCGGGAUCGCAGUCUGCAACUCGACUGCGUGUAGUUAACUGCACCGCGGAUCAGCAUGGUCGCAGAAUAUGCCCUGGUCUUGUACACACCGCCCGUCACACCAUGGGAGUGGGUUUUACCAGAAGUAGUUAGCCUAACCGUAAGAGGGCAUUGGCCACGGUAGGAUUCACGAUCUGGGAGAAGUCGUAACAUGUAG